GCCCGGGUGGCUCAGUCGGUUAAGUCUCUGACUUCAGCUCAGGUCAUGAUCUCACGGUUUGUGGGUUCGAGCCCCGCGUCGGGCU
rnacentral:tRNA from 1 species